rnacentral:rRNA from 1 species
UACGUAGGCAGCAAGCGUUGUUCGGAGUUACUGGGCGUAAAGGGUGUGUAGGCGGUUCUCUAAGUUUGGUGUGAAAUCUCCCGGCUUAACCGGGAGGGUGCGCCGAAAACUGGGGAGCUAGAGUACUGGAUGGGUAAGUGGAAUUCCUGGUGUAGCGGUGAAAUGCGUAGAUAUCAGGAGGAACACCUGUGGUGUAGACGGCUUACUGGACAGUAACUGACGCUGAGACACGAAAGCGUGGGUAGCAAACAGG